UUAAAGUGGAAUUACAAGUCCAACUGGGAAUUAUACGCAAAAUGCUCAAGCUCAAUGAAGACUUCAUCUUGAACAAAUGCCUAGUCCUGCAAGUUAUUCAAGUACUAAAAAAACAUCUGCUACAUUACCAAAAUGGAUCAUAAAAUAACUUAUAAUUUACUAGAUACAAGUUAUCGUAGAGGAUCAAAGAACAAAAAAUGAAAUAUUUAUAAGCAAUCAAAAAGGUCUGGUUCCACAUCUAGUCACUAAAAAGUUUGUUGUUGAAGAUCAAGAAAACUGCUCAACUUAAAAGUCUUUGCUUCAAGAUCAAGGAAACUGCUUCACUUAGAUUUCUAAGAUACUCUGUAUAUAAUAUAUGCGCAUCUGCAGAUAUGGUCAAACAAGUUGAUACAAAUUCCUUUUUUAUUGAGCUCAAUGAUUUAAAUGGAAGUGGUUCUAGUUCCUGUUUUUUGCAAAACUUUUAUCAGUACCUUUAUGCAAUUCAUCACUACAGGCAGAAGAUUUCAAUGUCUACUUUGCAGACUCACAACUGCAGUGCCUGCUGAAUAAUUUAUGCACUUUGAUCACUCUGGGCAAAGAAUGGAUUGCAUCAAAUGUCUCAAAUUGAUGUAAAGAACCAAUGAGAUUAUGGCAAUAAAAAUUAUUGUAGAAAUAAUACGUUUCCAAAAACUAGCUGCACUAGUAUAAUAUGCAAUAUCAUCAUUAGUAUAAUAUACUAUAUCAUUGAUGUGUCUAAUAAUACUCUAAAUUUAGUUCAGUUAAUUUAUUAUACUCUGAAACCUGUUGCAUUUGAUGCUGUAAUGCACAUCAUGCAUACAUGUCAAACGCAACUGACAUGGAAUUAACUAGCAUUGAUUGUGACCAUGUAUUUUAUCUUCUUAUGUUUAAUUUGUUAAAAAUUAAAUUUACAAUGGGUUCUAAUGUAACUUAUUUUAGACUAUAACUGUUGAUAUAAAACAUGAUGACAAAAUAGCACAAGACAAUAAUUUUUAUAUUCAAAUGAUAUUUGAAUAUAUAUACUUUAUAUAUAUUGUAAUAAAGUAAGAAGAUUGCACAUCAUUAAUUUGAGUUUGGCAUAAGUUUUUGCUAUUAAAAAUAUGUGGUGAAGUAUAUGGGUGUAAUUAAUUAAAAAAUUUUUUAUAUUAUAGUUGUUUUCAAAUUAGUAAACUCAACUCCAAUGGCCGUAAAAGAAGCCUUGAAGCCACGUACUUCCCCUUCUAGUUCUGGACAGCUCAUACUUUCUAAAUGACUGAAAGUACUGCCAGUGUACAUUAAUAGAUUAAUAAACAGUGAUGCUUUAGAAGGAGGUAAAAAAUCAUCAUAAUUGUGAAAAAAAAGUAAAUAUAAUUAAGAAGAAUAGCUGAUAAAUAGAAAAUCAGCAGAUUUCUGUUCCCAACAAUCUUUAAAGUUACCACCACUUGGCAACAGUUAUAAUAUGUUGAUA